rnacentral:rRNA from 1 species
GACGGAGGAUGCAAGUGUUAUCCGGAAUCACUGGGCGUAAAGCGUCUGUAGGUGGUCAAAUAAGUCAACUGUUAAAUCUUGAGGCUCAACCUCAAAAUCGUAGUCGAAACUAUUAGACUAGAGUAUAGUAGGGGUAAAGGGAAUUUCCAGUGGAGCGGUGAAAUGCGUAGAGAUUGGAAAGAACACCGAUGGCGAAGGCACUUUACUGGGCUAUUACUAACACUCAGAGACGAAAGCUAGGGUAGCAAAUGGG